rnacentral:rRNA from 1 species
GAUGAACGCUGGCGGCGUGCCUAACACAUGCAAGUCGAACGAAGCACUUUAGCUUGAUUCUUCGGAUGAAGGCUAUUGUGACUGAGUGGCGGACGGGUGAGUAACGCGUGGGUAACCUGCCUCAUACAGGGGGAUAACAGUUAGAAAUGACUGCUAAUACCGCAUAAGACCACGGAGUCGCAUGACUCAGUGGGAAAAACUCCGGUGGUAUGAGAUGGACCCGCGUCUGAUUAGGUAGUUGGUGGGGUAACGGCCUACCAAGCCGACGAUCAGUAGCCGGCCUGGGAGGGUGACCGGCCACAUUGGGACUGAGACACGGCCCAAACUCCUACGGGAGGCAGCAGUGGGGAAUAUUGCACAAUGGGGGAAACCCUGAUGCAGCGACGCCGCGUGAGCGAAGAAGUAUUUCGGUAUGUAAAGCUCUAUCAGCAGGGAAGAAAAUGACGGUAUCUGACUAAGAAGCACCGGCUAAAUACGUGCCAGCCGCCGCCGUAA